AGAGCCACGCCCACGGCCUACUGACAUCUCCAAAGUGAUGUCGAGCAAUUAAGCCAAUGUGUAAGGUAUGUCGGCGGUCGGUGCCCUCAAAAACCGGCAACACAACAGAUCUGUUCAGUCAUUUGAAGAAAUACUUACCGAGUAGUUAUGGGGAAAGCAUGAAAAUGUGAGCGGAGUCUGUACAGCCUGUCACCGCUGACGGCAAGAGUAGCAUUAGCAGUUUAGCUACAACUAGCGGUGCAGGAACCAGACCAAACCAGCAACCAAUUGUAUCAUGUAAUGUUUACAUCUUAAGGCUUUCUUUAUUAUUCAUGAGGGGGCGAUUUGUUUAUCUUGGGUCUUGCAUACCUGCAAAAACACUCAGGUCUGUAAACAUUUUUUUUCUAUAACUAUAUAUAUAUAUAAAUAAAUAUACAGUUGAAACCAGAAGUUUACAUACACUAUAUAAAAAGGUACAUAACCUUUUUUUUCUCACCGUCUUCCAUUAAAUCAGAUUAAACUUUUUCCUGUUUUUGCUCAAUUAGGAUUACCAAAAUUAUUUUUAUUUGCUAAAUGCCAGAAUAAUGAAAGAGAGAAUUUUUUAGACAAUUUUUUAUUACUUUCUCGAGAAUCAAAAGUUUACAUACAUUUCAUUAGUAUUUGGUAGCUGCCUUUUAAUUGUAUGACUUGGGUCAAGUGUUUUGGAUAUGCUUCCAUUUUAAAUAAUCAUAAUAAUCAUUUUUAUCGUUUAAACAAUUAGUUGAAUGUCAUCAGCCAGGGUUGAGGCUAACGUUUGUAAUUUUAUGUGGAUAAAAUUGUCCAAUAAUCGAUCAUAUCAGUUUUGUUCCUGUGGCUAUACUGCUCUGAAAUCCUUUAAAUGAUUUUAACUCAUCAGCAUUUGAUAUAAAAGCUAAAACUUGUAAACAAAAGAGAAAAAUAAUAUUUUCAACCAUCCUUCAUUUGCUCUUAUUAAUUGUAAGUAUUAUUUGUAACUGUUGAUAAGGGUCUUUGCUUAGAAUAAUCAAUAAAAACAUCAGAUUUGGUACUUUUUCAAACUUUAAUGUGAAGUAGUUGAUCACAAUUUCUCAGACAGCAAACAAAUUAUAUCAAAACUGACCACCAGGGGGUGUCCUUUCUUGGUCCUGAACUCCAGAUCCUGAAGUCCUCUAUUCCUUGUGUCUGAUCCUCAGGUGUCUGCAGGAGAACCGGAGACUUGGCACUUGGCGGGACCUGCAGAGGACAGCCUGGGUGAGUUGUGAUGUUGGCUCUGUGCUUCAGGGUCUUCGGUCCCUGAUAGUACUGCGGAUGUUUCAGCAGCUGUAGAGUUCGUUUUUUAAUGCCAAUAGAUGUGCUGAAUUACUAAUGUCAACACUUUUAAUUUAAUUUACAUGGCAUGUGUAUUUAUGCCCAUUGUAUGAUACAAGUGCAUCUCAGUGAAUCAGAAUAUCAUGAAAAAGUUCAACAUUUUCUUCCACUUAUUUAAAGAAAAUGAAAAUCACUAUUUAUUUAUUUAUUUAUUUUUUGACGUUUUCAGAUCAGCUCAAACAUUUUUAGGUUCGUUUUUUCAUAACUAUGGUCUGAAUUUUAUAUUUUCUUGACUCAUUACUCAUUUAUUUAAAUGUUUGAAGCAUUUUUUUUUUCAGUUUUUAAUUUUGGCCUACAGCCUGUAUUAAUAAAUAACAUUAUUAAUAUAUGAAAUUUAUUCUUAAUUAUUCAUCUAAUUUGGACUUGAACCAGCAAAAUGUGAAUAGAUAGUACUUUCAGAUAGUACGCUUAGUUUUAAAUGUCCUCAUUAUAUUUCUCUUCAAUUAUUGUUCUCAUUUGGACUUAUUUAAAGUAAAAAUUAAACAUAUUUCAGACUCAUUGUAAAAGCACUAAAUUGUUAAUUUUUUCAUGUUCCAGUUCUAAUUAUUUUGGCCAAAAUCUUUUAUUUUGAAAUAAAGACAAACUACUUAUCAGAUUUAUUUUUAAUUACUUAUCUAAUGACAAGAUUUCCUCUGGAAAAAGGAGCUUUUUCAUGAUGUUUUGAUUCUAGUUUUCUGACAUGCACUUAGUAUUGUCUUAAGUUAAAAUUAUCAGUAUUUAUCUGAAAAAAAAAUGAAAAUGUUUUUAUUCUAAACUUUACUUCAAAGCUUCAGCAAACCUGUUGAACACUGAGAUCUGAUCUAUCUCUGUACACCUGAGCUGCCUUUAACAAGUCCACUAUGUCAAAAACAAAAGUUAUAAUCUGAGCUGUAACUACAAACUCUGUCCUUGUACAUCUGCAUUAUAAAAACACAGCAGUAGCUGAAUGUUACAGUAAAAACGAACACUACAGCUGCUGAAAGCAUCAACAACAAUAUCAGGGACCUUGAAGACCCUGAAGGGGCUGAGCCAACAACACAACCACCAGAGUGACUUAUUGGUCGACAUAAAUACUAUUAUUUGAAACCAAUUUUAGGUCUUUUGGUCACAUGACAUGGAAGCUGUUGAAGGAAAGUUUCAAAAUUUGGUCUUAGAUUUAACCAAAAUAUUUUUGGAGGACAAAUUUAAGAAAAAAAGAGGUGUGACUUAUCGUUCGACCUUAGUACUAUUAUUUCAACUGAAAACAGUAAGUCAAUUAGUCAAUUCGCACAUAUCUAUUUUUAGUCGCAAAUACGAGUGUCAAAUCUUGGUCGGGGGGACCUACAAUUUUAUUAGAAAUAAAAAAAAACACAACCACACUGUGGAUCCAAGUUUAUACAUUAAAAAAAAGAUUGUGACUGUGUCUCUUUAUUGUAAUCAGACCCCCCAGGCCCCCUGUUCCCUCCCUCUCCUGUGUCUCCCUCAGGUUGAAGUUCAACUGCUCUAUGAUGCUUAGUUUUGUUCCUGAUUUUAGUGGUAGGAAAGUUUAGUCUGAUUUUAUUAUUUCACUUUUCACUGAGUGUUUAAAGACUUCAGUCUUAAGACUUGAAAUAUAUAUGCUCUGAAUGGGAAUGCAAAACAAUACUUCAGUGCACCAACAUUUCCAUUCAAAAGCAAAGAUUUAAAGUCUAAAGAUAAUUUCAACUAGAAAAUAAUUAAAUCUGAACUACAGACACUGGCCUUUAAAAUUCACCUAGACCUGGAUCAGGAUCAGGAUCAAACUUAGAUUGAAGUUUAAAGUCUAGGAGCCAAAGUGCCAAGAUAAAAGGACGCGCAACUCCUACCCAAGUGUGGAUCGUAUCUUGUAGCAUGUGUGUUAGUCAAUUGGCUCCCAAUGUGUGGACCCCGGUUCGAUUCCAGCUAGUGACGGGGUAGUUCAAAGUAAUGAAAUGAUGAAAAUUUCCUUCUAUACCGUAAUCGGUAUAGACUCCUGAAGAAGUGAUGGUUCACUUCUAAUGAUGGCUAAUUCUGAUCGUUACUAA
rnacentral:lncRNA from 1 species